rnacentral:rRNA from 1 species
UACGAAGGGGGCUAGCGUUGCUCGGAAUUACUGGGCGUAAAGGGAGCGUAGGCGGGUUAUCAAGUUGGGGGUGAAAGCCCGGGGCUCAACCUCGGAAUUGCCUUCAAAACUGAUAACCUGGAGUAUGGAAGAGGUAAGUGGAACUCCGAGUGUAGAGGUGAAAAUUCGUAGAUAUUCGGAAGAACACCAGUGGCGAAGGCGACUUACUGGUCCAUUACUGACGAUGAGGCUCGAAAGCGUGGGGAGCAAACACGGAUUGAGACAUACCGAG